CAAUAAGGACUUCGUGAUGAUCCUUCCGCAUUCCCCGGUUAUUGUUAUCGAGGAGGGCUCUUAUUUUUCAAAGGACGAUUAGUGUUACCUGCUGAUUCACCACUUUGCCUCCACCUGCUCCAAGAGUUCCACUCUUCUCCCAUUGGUGGCCAUUCGGGCAUUGCCCGUACCUUUCAUUGUUUGUCUUCCAAUUUUUAUUGGAAGAAUAUGCGUCGUGACAUAAAGG
rnacentral:misc_RNA from 1 species